rnacentral:rRNA from 1 species
GAUGAACGCUGGCGGCGUGCCUAAUACAUGCAAGUCGAGCGAACGGACGAGAAGCUUGCUUCUCUGAUGUUAGCGGCGGACGGGUGAGUAACACGUGGAUAACCUACCUAUAAGACUGGGAUAACUUCGGGAAACCGGAGCUAAUACCGGAAAUAUUUUGAACCGCAUGGUUCAAAAGUGAAAGACGGUCUUGCUGUCACUUAUAGAUGGAUCCGCGCUGCAUUAGCUAGUUGGUAAGGUAACGGCUUACCAAGGCAACGAUGCAUAGCCGACCUGAGAGGGUGAUCGGCCACACUGGAACUGAGACACGGUCCAGACUCCUACGGGAGGCAGCAGUAGGGAAUCUUCCGCAAAGGGCGAAAGCCUGACGGAGCAACGCCGCGUGAGUGAUGAAGGUCUUCGGAUCGUAAAACUCUGUUAUUAGGGAAGAACAUAUGUGUAAGUAACUGUGCACAUCUUGACGGUACCUAAUCAGAAAGCCACGGCUAACUACGUG